UAGGUUUUUGUAACCAGCCUUCAAGAUGGUCCCCAGUGAUUCUUUCAUGCUGGAAUUCAUGCCAUGUGUAAUCCCUCUCACACUGAAUAGAGCUAAAUAGAGCUCAUAUGUAUAAAUAAUUGGGUAUUGCAGAAAUGAUGGCAUGUGACAUCCAAGACUACAUCAUAAGAUAUUGCAGCUUCCACCUUGAUCCCUCUUGGAUCACGUGUUCUGGAAGAUGUAAGCCAUGAUGUAAGAACACUCAAGCAGCCUUAUGCGAGGUCCUCAUGUAAGCCAUCUUGGAAUCAGAUUCUCCAGCCCCCAAAAAAACUUUAGAAGACUAUAGCAUCAUGAGGGACCAUGACCCAGAACCAUUUAGGUCACUUCUAAAUAUUUUAUCAACAAACACUACAUGAGAUUUUAUGGUAAAGGCAAAUAACGAAGCAUUGGAUGCGAUCAUCACUGCCAGGUAGUGACCUGCCAG